rnacentral:rRNA from 1 species
UACGUAGGGUGCAAGCGUUGUCCGGAAUUAUUGGGCGUAAAGAGCUCGUAGGCGGUUCGUCGCGUCGGCUGUGAAAUCCCGAGGCUCAACCUCGGGUCUGCAGUCGAUACGGGCGGACUGGAGUUCGGCAGGGGAGACUGGAAUUCCUGGUGUAGCGGUGAAAUGCGCAGAUAUCAGGAGGAACACCGGUGGCGAAGGCGGCAUCCUGGACCAACACUGACGCUGAGUGAGCGAAAGCCAGGGGAGCAAACGGG